AUGCUGUUAGAAUUCUCCUCUCAAAUCUUAAGGAGGGAUUGUCAAUAUAAAUUCACGUUACCUGCUCAUCAGUACAUAAUUCCGAGAGGAGAAUGGAGACGGAUGAUGCAGAAGUGGAUUUUGGGAGUGGAAGGGAAGAUUUCACUUUUGUGUCAUUUCUUUUGUCACAGAGUCCUCUUUUGGACCUGGCUUUCUGACUGGGCCAGCCUCUAUACCUGCAUUGCAAAUGGCAGUUAUGCUGAUGCUGAAGAUGGAGGCACUGACAUCCUUGGUGCAGACGACAGAACCCUUGGCCUAAUACUGGCAGCUGCAGCAUGGGCAGCAACACAAGCACCGGACAUCUUUUGUUUGUCCUUCCAGAUCUGUUCUCUGUCCUUCUCCACCCUGCUCUGUGACCUGGGAGCCUGACCCAUAUGGUCCAUUUGAGUGGUGUGCUGGAGCCCGUGAGAGCUGAUUAUGUGCAUCUCUUCUUAGCUCCAUGUUUGGUGACCAUGGUAGGAAUAUUUGCACCAUGGAAAUUGGCAAACACUAUAAAUAAGUGUGCACACACGCAGAGAGCUUGUUAAAUAUUUAUUUACCAGCACACCACAGGAGCUAUGUUAAUAUAUCAAUAGCCUCCCUUGCCCCUUUGGCUUCUGGUUGGGUUUGGACAUUGGGAGGCACCUGAAGAGGGUUGAAGGGUGGGAAGAGAGUGUAGUCAGAGUAUCCGUUCUCCUGGCUCCGUCCCUAACGGGUUCCCCCAGCUUGGGUGCCUCCCUCUACAAAGUCUUCAGCUGCUGUCAGGCACCCUCUCCACAUCCAUCCUCUCUGGAAUACAGACACUCCUUGCCUGUCCCUCUUCAGCCCUAUGAGGGGUGCUGGCUCCGGGCACCACGUCAUCUCUCCCUCGCUUCCCUAAACCCUACCUACACUGAUAGACCCUUCAUGACACUCCUCUAAUAACCCAUUUGAGUGUGUGCCACUUCUUUCCCUCCAUGACCCUGACUGAUACGAAGCCUAACUAUGUUCAGUCGUGUGGGACUGCUUGCUUGUGUCCUGGGUGCAUUUCCUGGGUCUCCAUUUAGAUACUAGGUUCCAAGAGCAGUGGUUUCAAACCCUUUAUGGCCUUGCUUGGGAGGUUUUCUUCAAGUGAAAUCUUUUCUGAAAACUCAAUA
rnacentral:lncRNA from 1 species